UACGAAGGGGGCUAGCGUUGUUCGGAAUUACUGGGCGUAAAGGGCGUGUAGGCGGCCCGUUAAGUCAGGUGUGAAAUUCCUGGGCUCAACCCAGGACGUGCGCCUGAGACUGGCGGGCUUGAAUCCGGGAGAGGAUGGUGGAACUCCCAGUGUAGAGGUGAAAUUCGUAGAUAUUGGGAAGAACACCCGUGGCGAAGGCGGCCAUCUGGACCGGUAUUGACGCUAAGGCGCGACAGCGUGGGGAGCAAACAGGAUUAGAAACCCCUGUAGUCC
rnacentral:rRNA from 1 species